CUACACGGGUUUCUAAUCCUGUUUGCUCCCCACACUUUCGCAUCUCAGUGUCAGCCAAAAUCCAGAUAACCGCUUUCGCAACUGGUGUUCUUCCCAAUAUCUACAAAUUCCACCUUUACACUGGGAAUUCCGUUAUCCUCUAUUUUGCUCUAGUCUAUCAGUAUCAAAGGCAGUUCCCGGGUUGAGCCCGGGGAUUUCACCCCUAACUUGAUAAACAACCUACACGCGCUUUACGCCCAGUAAAUCCGAACAACGCUAGUCCCCUUCGUAUUACCGCGGCUGCUGGCAC
rnacentral:rRNA from 1 species